rnacentral:rRNA from 1 species
GUGGGGAAUCUUGCGCAAUGGGCGAAAGCCUGACGCAGCAACGCCGCGUGCGGGAUGAAGGCCCUCGGGUUGUAAACCGCUUUCAGCAGGAACGAAAAUGACGGUACCUGCAGAAGAAGGUCCGGCCAACUACGUGCCAGCAGCCGCGGUAACACGUAGGGACCAAGCGUUGUCCGGAUUUAUUGGGCGUAAAGCGCUCGUAGGCGGUUCGGUAAGUCGGGUGUGAAACCCCUGGGCUCAACCCGGGGACGCCACCCGAUACUGCUGUGACUCGAGUUCGGUAGGGGAGCGGGGAAUUCCUGGUGUAGCGGUGAAAUGCGCAGAUAUCAGGAGGAACACCGGUGGCGAAGGCGCCGCUCUGGGCCGAUACUGACGCUGAGGAGCGAAAGCGUGGGGAGCAAACAGGAUUAGAAACCCUGGUAGUCC